AAUCGUCUUCAUAUUAUCGACCUCUACGGCAAAGAUCCGAACUAUAAAAUCUUUUUUUUUUUUGUUAAAUGGGGUUGGUAAUCCAAUGUGAACUAUGAACUUAGAUAUUAGUGGAAUCACAUAAGAAAACAUAUUUUAAGGUGAUGAUUGUUUGUUUGGUUUCUAGAUUUUAGAUUUUGGUUUUUGGUUUUUAGUUUUUGGUUUUUGGUUUUUAGAUUUUGGUUUUUGAUUUUGCAGUAGAUUUUAGUUUCUUGAAAAACAUGAAUGGUGAUUUUAGAUUUUAGAUUUUAGUUUUUGGUUUUUAGUUUUUACUUAUAAAAUAAUGAAAUGAAAAUAUUAUCAGUAGUAAAAUAUUUAUUCCAAAA
rnacentral:lncRNA from 1 species